UACGAAGGGGGCUAGCGUUGCUCGGAAUCACUGGGCGUAAAGGGUGCGUAGGUGGGAAUGUAAGUCAGUGGUGAAAUCUCCGUGCUUAACACGGAAACUGCCAUUGAUACUAUGUUUCUUGAAUUAUCUGGAGGUCAGCGGAAUAUGUCAUGUAGCGGUGAAAUGCUUAGAUAUGACAUAGAACACCAAUUGCGAAGGCAGCUGGCUACAGGUGGAUUGACACUGAGGCACGAAAGCGUGGGGAUCAAUCAGG
rnacentral:rRNA from 1 species